GAUGAACGCUGGCGGCGUGCCUAAUACAUGCAAGUCGAGCGAACAGACGAGGAGCUUGCUCCUCUGACGUUAGCGGCGGACGGGUGAGUAACACGUGGAUAACCUACCUAUAAGACUGGGAUAACUUCGGGAAACCGGAGCUAAUACCGGAGAAUAUAUUGAACCGCAUGGUUCAAUAGUGAAAGACGGUUUUGCUGUCACUUAUAGAUGGAUCCGCGCCGCAUUAGCUAGUUGGGAAGGUAACGGCUUACCAAGGCAACGAGGCGUAGCCGACCGGAGAGGGGGGUCGGCCACAUGAGAACGUGAACGCGGACCAGGGUCCUGAGGGACGCACCAGUAGGGAACGUGACGCAGUGGUGGGAAGUCUUACGGAGCAACGGCGCGUGUGUUGCGGAGGCCUUGCGAUCGGGAAACUCUGUUACUAGGGAAGAACAAAUGUGUAAGUAACUAUGCACGUCUUGACGGUACCUAAUCAGAAAGCCCCGGCUAACUACGUG
rnacentral:rRNA from 1 species